UUGCGGAGACAGGAUUUGAACCCGUGACCUCAAGGUUAUGAGCCUUGCGAGCUACCAAACUGCUCUACCCCGC
rnacentral:tRNA from 3 species